GACGAACGCUGGCGGCGUGCUUAACACAUGCAAGUCGAACGAUGAAGCCGGAGCUUGCUCUGGUGAAUUAGUGGCGAACGGGUGAGUAACACGUGAGUAACCUGCCCUUGACUCUGGGAUAACUGCGGGAAACUGUAGCUAAUACCGGAUACGACCCUCGGAGGCAUCUCCUGGGGGUGGAAAGAAUUUCGGUCAAGGAUGGACUCGCGGCCUAUCUGCUAGUUGGUGAGGUAAAGGCUCACCAAGGCGACGACGGGUAGUCGGCCUGAGAGGGUGACCGGCCACACUGGGACUGAGACACGGCCCAGACUCCUACGGGAGGCAGCAGUGGGGAAUAUUGCACAAUGGGCGCAAGCCUGAUGCAGCAACGCCGCGUGAGGGAUGACGGCCUUCGGGUUGUAAACCUCUUUUAGCAGGGAAGAAGCGAAAGUGACGGUACCUGCAGAAAAAGCACCGGCUAACUACGUGCCAGCCGCCGCGGUAA
rnacentral:rRNA from 1 species